rnacentral:tRNA from 1 species
UCCCUGGUGGUCCAGCGGUUAGGACUCUGUGUUUCCACUACAGGGGGCAUAGGUUUGAUCCCUGGUCAGGGAA